UUUAAAUUGAGAGUUUGAUCCUGGCUCAGGAUGAACGCUGGUGGCGUGCCUAAUACAUGCAAGUCGUACGCUAGCCGCUGAAUUGAUCCUUCGGGUGAAGUGAGGCAAUGACUAGAGUGGCGAACUGGUGAGUAACACGUAAGAAACCUGCCCUUUAGUGGGGGAUAACAUUUGGAAACAGAUGCUAAUACCGCGUAACAACAAAUCACACAUGUGAUCUGUUUGAAAGGUCCUUUUGGAUCGCUAGAGGAUGGUCUUGCGGCGUAUUAGCUUGUUGGUAGGGUAGAAGCCUACCAAGGCAAUGAUGCGUAGCCGAGUUGAGAGACUGGCCGGCCACAUUGGGACUGAGACACUGCCCAAACUCCUACGGGAGGCUGCAGUAGGGAAUUUUCCGCAAUGCACGAAAGUGUGACGGAGCGACGCCGCGUGUGUGAUGAAGGCUUUCGGGUCGUAAAGCACUGUUGUAAGGGAAGAAUAACUGAAUUCAGAGAAAGUUUUCAGCUUGACGGUACCUUACCAGAAAGGGAUGGCUAAAUACGUGCCAGCAGCCGCGGUAAUACGUAUGUCCCGAGCGUUAUCCGGAUUUAUUGGGCGUAAAGCGAGCGCAGACGGUUUAUUAAGUCUGAUGUGAAAUCCCGAGGCCCAACCUCGGAACUGCAUUGGAAACUGAUUUACUUGAGUGCGAUAGAGGCAAGUGGAACUCCAUGUGUAGCGGUGAAAUGCGUAGAUAUGUGGAAGAAC
rnacentral:rRNA from 1 species